rnacentral:misc_RNA from 1 species
UUUCCAUAGGUGAACCUGCGGAAGGAUCAUUAAAAAAUGUGGUACCAUUUGUUGGUACUAAUUAAUCAUCCUACCCUUUGUGAAUUUGUUUGUAUCGAAUUUUUUUAAAUGGGUCUUUCCCUAAGUUGGAUUGUAGUAAAAAUACAAAAAGACUUAGGGGAAUGACUUUUUUAAAAGACUUUUUUUUUUAAAUUAAAACUUUUUGUAUUCAUUUGUCUAAAAUUUAUUUUUAUAAUAUAAAAACAACUUUUGACAAUGGAUCUCUUGGUUCUCGCAACGAUGAAGAACGCAGCAAAAUGCGAUAAGUAGUGUGAAUUGCAGAAUACGUGAAUCAUCGAAUCUUCGAACGCAUAUUGCACUUUUUUAGUUUACUAAAAAAGUAUGUCUGUUUGAGUAUCAGUAAAAUAUUCUCACAAACAUGUAUUGUUUGUGGUUAUGAGUGUUUUACAACGAUAAACAAGUUGUUUCACUUUAAAUUCUUUUUAAUUGAAUUUUACCAAUUCAUAAAUUAAAAUUGGAUAAAAUUUUCCUUUAACCGAGGAGUAACCUAAACAAUUUUAAAUUUUAUGGAUUAAUAACAUUCAACAAAGGAAUCUAUUACACAUAAAUAACUUGAUCUCAAAUCAGAUAAGAGUACCCGCUGAGCUUAAGCAUAUCAAUAAGCGGAGGAAAAGAAACUAACAAGGAUUCCCUUAGUAACGGCGAGUGAAGCGGGAAGAGCUCAAAUUUGAAAUCUUCAAGGUUUGACCUUGACGAAUUGUAGUUUAUAGAAGUGUUUUCUGUUGGAGUUUUGGUAAAAGUUCUUUGGAAUAGGACAUCAUAGAGGGUGAGAAUCCCGUAUUUGACCAUGACUUUCCAGCUGUGUGAUACACUUUCAAAGAGUCGGAUUGUUUGGGAAUGCAGUCCAAAAUGGGUGGUAAAUUUCAUCUAAAGCUAAAUAUUGGCGAGAGACCGAUAGCGAACAAGUACCGUGAGGAAAGAUGAAAAGAACUUUGAAAAGAGAGUUAAACAGUACGUGAAAUUGUCAAAAGUGAAGCGUUUGACACCAGUGUUGUUUUCUCGAAAAUCAAUUUAAUGAGUUCUUGUUUUUAAGUUAUUGUGACUUUAUCAGCGCAUUUCUUAUUUUACUUGGCUCAUUGAAUGCACUUUUCGUUUAACAAGUCAACAUCAAUUUCUUUGGUGGUAAAAAGUUUAAAGGAAGGUGGCUUGGACUUCGGUUCAAGUGUUUAUAGCCUUUUUUCUAUGCCAUCGGAGAGAUUGAGGUCUGCAGCGUAGAUCCUUCGGGGUUAGAUACCUUUGUGCUAAGUUAUAGUUUUUUAUAGACAACUUGUUGACUAUAAUUAACCCUGUAAUUUACUCGCUUAGGUAUUU